rnacentral:rRNA from 1 species
GGUAGAUAGGUUCGGGGUGGAAGCACGGCGACGUGUGGAGCUGACGAAUACUAAUCGAUCGAGGACUUAACCAAAA